rnacentral:rRNA from 1 species
GAUGAAUGCUGGCGGCGUGGAUGAGGCAUGCAAGUCGGAUGGGUUUAGACCCAUGGCAGACGAGGUAGGAACACGUAGGUACGUGCCCAAGAGUCAGGGGUACUCCGGUGAAAAUCGGCAUAAUACUUGAUAGUCCCUUCGGGGUAAAGAUUUAUCGCUCUUGGAACGGCCUGCGGUCUAUCAGCUUGAUGGUGAGGUAACGGCUCACCAUGGCUACGACGGAUAGGGGAGGUGAGAGCCUGACCCCCACCGAUGGAACUGAGACACGGUCCAU